rnacentral:rRNA from 1 species
GACGAACGCUGGCGGCGUGCUUAACACAUGCAAGUCGAACGGAAAGGCCCUGCUUUUGUGGGGUGCUCGAAUGGCGAACGGGUGAGUAACACGUGAGUAACCUGCCCUUGACUUUGGGAUAACUUCAGGAAACUGGGGCUAAUAACGGAUAGGAGCUCCUGCUGCAUGGUGGGGGUUGGAAAGUUUCGGCGGUUGGGGAUGGACUCGCGGCUUAUCGGCUUGUUGGUGGGGUAGUGGCUUACCAAGGCUUUGACGGGUAGCCGGCCUGGGAGGGUGACCGGCCACAUUGGGACUGAGAUACGGCCCAGACUCCUACGGGAGGCAGCAGUGGGGAGUAUUGCACAAUGGGCGGAAGCCUGAUGCAGCGACGCCGCGUGCGGGAUGACGGCCUUCGGGUGGUAAACCGCUUUCGCCUGUGACGAAGCGUGAGUGACGGUAAUGGGUAAAGAAGCACCGGCUAACUACGUG